rnacentral:rRNA from 1 species
UACGUAGGGGGCAAGCGUUGUCCGGAAUCAUUGGGCGUAAAGCGCGUGUAGGCGGCCAGAAAAGUCCGCUGUGAAAACUCGAGGCUCAACUUCGAGCUGUCGGUGGAAACUUUCUGGCUAGAGUCCGGAAGAGGAGAAUGGAAUUCCUGGUGUAGCGGUGAAAUGCGCAGAUAUCAGGAAGAACACCCGUGGCGAAGGCGGUUCUCUGGGCCUUGCCUGACGCUGAGGCGCGAAAGCUAGGGGAGCGAACAGG